GACGAACGCUGGCGGCGUGCUUAACACAUGCAAGUCGAACGGAAAGGCCCUGCUUUUGUGGGGUGCUCGAGUGGCGAACGGGUGAGUAACACGUGAGUAACCUGCCCUUGACUUUGGGAUAACUUCAGGAAACUGGGGCUAAUACCGGAUAGGAGCUCCUGCUGCAUGGUGGGGGUUGGAAAGUUUCGGCGGUUGGGGAUGGACUCGCGGCUUAUCAGCUUGUUGGUGGGGUAGUGGCUUACCAAGGCUUUGACGGGUAGCCGGCCUGAGAGGGUGACCGGCCACAUUGGGACUGAGAGACGGCCCAGACUCCUACGGGAGGCAGCAGUGGGGAAUAUUGCACAAUGGGCGGAAGCCUGAUGCAGCAGCGCCGCGUGCGGGAUGACGGCCUUCGGGUUGUAAACCGCUUUCGCCUGUGACGAAGCGGGAGUGACGGUAAUGGGUAAAGAAGCACCGGCUAACUACGUG
rnacentral:rRNA from 1 species